AAGUUCUUGGCCAAGGUUCCAGGUAUGAAGAUGGAGAUAAUUAUAUAAGACAGUUGAGAAAUGAGUUGGGACCAGGCAAGCAAACCAAAUUGGACUUAGCCUGAGCCCUUCGUAGCUUCAAGAGAACUGUCUUCAUUAAGGCCCCACAUGUAAGGAAACAGGUAGUCUGUUGUCGAUUCCUCCUGUUUGAGUCUCUUGUCCCCAGCCUCUUACUCAAUGAACUUGCCACCAGCAGAGAAGCAGGUGGGUAACUUUUGCCUUUAUGAGAUAGAAAGCUGAAGUGGUUUUUGUUGCCUAUUGUUUGGUGAUUUUUGGCUCCUCAUGCACAGACAGAAAGUAAUUAUAAUUUGGUUUGUUUUUCUUCUUUCAAAGCAUAUGUUUGACCUGCUUAUGCUUUUCUUUAGAGCUGCAAUGUUAAUACAGCUGUACUUGCAGAACAAUGUUAGCUCCUAAUAGUCUUCUGCUGCACACUAAAAAGAACCCCAGAGUAAAAAGAUGUACAAUUAAGGAGUUGUGGAUAUUUUCAUAGUCUUCUCACAUGUUAAUAGAGUCCUAAACAAGAUGCUAUUUCGCACAUUGUAUGUUCUUCAUUCAAUAUUAUUAAUUAAUUAAAUGCAGUUUAAUAAGUCCCUACUUUGCCCCUGGAAAUGCAUGUUGGAGGAAAAUUUAUUAUGUAGCCAGGAGAUAUUAAAAAUACAAUAGUACUUACAGCAUUAGCUGGAAGAUAAAAAAAGAGAUGCUAUGGGUUACAGGUGCGGAGGUAUUUAUUCCUGAGAUAUCAGGGAAGGCUACAUGAAAGUGUUAAUUGGGCUGAUUCUUGAAAGCUAAGGGAAUUUGGAAAUUAGAGGGUUGGGGAUGAGGCAUGAAUGUCCAGUGGGGGAGGACAACUUUGAGUAAACGUUCAGAGGCGGGAAACUAUAGUAAGAGAAACACAAGUUGUCCUGUUUUGUUGGCAUGUAGCAAAAGCGAGGCAGAGAAAUGGAAAGUACAGAGUGGGGCUAGCUUGCAGUAUGUUUCGGAUGCUGGAUUAGUGGGAAGCCACUGGAAGAUUUUGAGGGGAACGGCAUAAGCAGAGCUAUGCUUUGGAAAGAGUAACCUGUGUUUAGGAUGGAUUCGCCUUUAGGUGAUGUUGAAAACAGGGAACUCGGGAGACUAUUGCAGUGAUCUAGAUCUGAAAGAGGGAGGCUGUGACUUCCCAGGGUGGUGGGAGAAACAGGCAGGAAGACAGGGAUGGGAAAUAGUAAUGGGUGUAUAUAACUGCUUUGAUAUUGUGAGUUGUGGUCGUUGUCGUUGUGUUUUUAUUUUAAAGAGAAAGAGUGCGUGCGUGUGGGGAGCGGGGCAGAGGGAGAGAGAGAGAAUCCCAAUGGGCUCCACACUGAGUGUGGAGAGUAUUUUCUCUCAAUUGGCCUCAAUUCUGACCCUACUAAGGUCUUGAGAAUCUAGAAUGACAGUAGAAAAUCUAAUCCAAACUCAGGUCAGUGUGAUCAGUCUCUGCUCCACAUCCCUUCUCCCCACCAAGAAUUCAAGAUGGCUUAGAAUCAACGGUGGAUUCUAAUGCAUUGCUAGGACAACUCAGCCUUCAGGCCAACACAAGACCCUGGAAACAACUUCAGAUCCCUUCUAGAGAGGGAUCUGGAUGUUUAGGUUGGGUCAGAGCUUAACUGGGCAUUGUAGGUAGAGAGGAAGGGGUGGCAGGUGGAAAGGAAUCUCUCAGGACCCCAGAGCUGCUGUUCUUAGGCCUGAAAUGGACUUCUCCUAUUUUGUUUGCUUGGCAAUUCUCUGAUAUUCUGAAAAACUUCCAUGAAAAGAGGCUGUGUGCCACCUUGGCUAAUAGUGUGUGUUCUGGAGAUCCCCAAUGUGAGUUCCAAUUCUGUCCCUCUAGCUGUGUGGCUUCAGACAACUAUCCUAACCUCCAGGUGCCUUCCUUCUCGUAGCCACAAAAUAGGAUACAAUAGUCCCCUUUUAUUUGUGCUUUUACUUUCUAUGGUUUCAGUUACUCGUGGUUGGGAAGCAGGUGACCCUCCUUCUGAUGCAGUGUAGAAAGUCAAUGGUAUCCUAACACUACGUCUCAGUGUCUACGUCAUUCUCCUCACGUCAUCUCAUCACAUAGUCGUUUAAUCACCUCACAUCAUCACAAGAGGAAGGGUGAGUAGAGUAGGAUAUUUAGAGAGAGAGACCACAUUUAUAUAAUUUUUAUUAUAGUAUGUUGUCAUAAUUGUUCCAUUUCAUUAUUGUUGUUCAUCUCUUACCGUGUCUAAUUUAUAAAUUAAAUUUUAUCAUAGGUAUGUGUUUACAGGCAAAAGCAUAAUGUAGAUAGGGUUCAGUACUAUCUGUGGUUUCAGGCAUCCACUGGGGCUCUUGGGAUAUAUCCCCCACGGAUAAGGGGAGACAACUGUAAUAGGCCUUACCUCACGAGGAUGGUGUAAGGAUCACCCAGAAAACAUCGGAACACUGUUUAGUUCCUGACCACUUUACACCCUCAGCACUAAGGGGUUAGGCCUCUGUUCCUCAGUGUCCUCACAGAGCUGUGCCCUACUCUCUGUCAAAUACCACACAGUAUUCUUUUUUUAUGUUUAUUUAAUUUUUAGAGAGAGAGAGAGAGAGAGAGAGGUGGGGGGAGGGACAGAGAGAGAGAGAGGGAGACAGAGGAUCCCAAGUGGGCUCUGUGCUGACAACAGAGAGCCCAAUGUGGGGCUCAAACCCAUGAACCGUGAGAUCCUGACCUGAUCCAAAGUCACAUGCUUAACUGACUGAGCCACCCAGGCGCCCCAAUAUUCUUUGUUUCCAUUUUUGUCUUUUCACUAGACCAUGAGCAUCUUGAGGGCCAGUACAGUAAUGCCAAUAUCCCAUGCUUGAAGUCUAACAACAUAGCAAGAACAGUGCUCACUCAUUACAAAUGAGAAGGCUGAGACCUGACAGGUUAGUUAGUCAAGCACCACAUACCUAGUAAGCAACAGACCAGGAUUAGAAGCUGGGUAUGUUGAGUUGCUUUCUCCGUAACUGUCCUGUAGUAUCUUAAUCGUAGUCACCUUUGCACCCCCUGGGCCAGGUGCAAUGCCCAGCCUGAAUUAGAUGCUCAUUUAAAGCCUGGGAGAUGUGUUUGGUGGAUUUGACCCCAUGCGUGGUUAAAUUUGAACACAUCUCAUGACUUCCGACGGAUAGUGCUAAGUCACUGAAAGCAUUGAGAGGAACUAUGGCCCCAGUUUCACAACCCUUUGACUUUCAGACUUGGCAGGUAAUGCCAUCCUCUUUUCUUACAUGGGGGAGGGGAGAGGAGGAUGAGUCAUGAAGGGUAGGCUAAUUGUUCAAGAAUUCCUGAUCCCAGACUAGUUCUCAGGUCUUUCUACCGAGGACAACUAUCCUUGAAUUAGGGCAGAAUUUUUAAAAAUCUCUUAUUAGACUCUCACAUAAACAAUGCUAUUCACACUAAUACUGAUUCAUUCAAAAAGAAAGCUGUUUGUUAUGCUACCGGCUAAUAAGUGAAUUUAUUUAAGAGUAAAAUAAAACAGAGGGUGGCAGUCAACUUCAUAGCAUUUGUCUCAUUCAAUUACAUUUAUGCAUUCAAGAGAUCAUUAUUGUGCAUCUAUUAUAUGGCAGCCACCAGGCACAGCACAAUGUUCUAGGAAAUAGUAUAAAAAUCCUCCUGCCAGGGUUUGCCCUGAAAGAACAACCAAAAUAAUUCAAAGGACUUCUUUUUUUUAAAGAAGUGGUUUAUAUCAAGGGGUAUGUACCAAGUGAAAAGAACCCUGGACUUGUAAUCAGAAGCAGAGGACUACAACCCCAGCUCUGUUUCACAGUAAUAAAAUUUGGAGUUUACUAAACAUGUACUCAGUGGCAGGUAUUGUGCAAAGCCUUCUCGUUUAUUUUGAAAAUCUCAUUAAUUUUGAAAAUAGUUUUAGAUUUCAUUAACACAAAAAUUGUAUAUAUUUAAGAUGUACAACUGAUUUUUUUUUUGUUUUGUUUUUUUACUUUGAGAGAGAGAGAAAGCAGGGGAGGGGCAGAGAGAGAGGGAGACAGAGAAUCCCAAACAGUCUUCAUGCUAUCAGUGCAAAGCCCAACGUGGUGCUUGAACUUGAAAUCUGAGAUCAUGACCUGAGCUGAAAUCAAGAGUCAGAUACUUAACCAACUGAGCUACCCAUGCGUCUUCCCAAUUGAUGUCUUGAUAUACAUAUACAUACAAUGUGAAAUGAUUAUCACAGUCAAGAUAAAUAACAUGUCCAUUACCUCUGUGCAGUUACCAUGGUACGUGUGUCUGUGUUAAGAGUAAAGAUCUAUUCUCUUAGCAAAUUAUAAGUAUACGAUACAACUGUUGUCACCAUGCUGUAAGUUAGAUCUGCACUAUUGGUCCUGCAUAAUUGACACUUUGUACCCCUUGACCAACAUCACCCCAUUUUCCUCUUUCCUCAGCCUAUGAAUCUGACUGUUUUAGAUUCCACAUAUAAGUGAGAUCAUGCAAUAUUUCCUUUUCGUGUCUUCCUUAUUUCACUUGGCAAAAUGUCCUCCAGGUUGCUUCACAGUGCAAAUGCCAGGCUUGCUUUCUUUCUUUCUUUCUUUCUUUCUUUCUUUCUUUCUUUCUUUUUGUAAAGACUGAAUAAUUUCUAUUUUAUAUACAUGUAAAUUCCAUCACACACAUAUAAUUUCCAUUAUAUAUAUUUUUCAUGUUAUCUAUUUAUCCAUUAUCUAUCUAUAUGACUCUUUAUUCAUUCAUCUGUCAAAUGACAUUUUAGUUUUUUUUCCAUAUACAAAGCCUUCUUAUCUUUUUUUGUUUAAGCUCUGUGAUCUGGGACAAAUCUCUUACACAACCUGAGCCUCAGUUUCCCAUUUGUGAAGUGGGGUAGUAAUUCUGUAUCUGUCUAUGUCACUGGGUUGUUCUGAGGAUUAAAGGAAAUAAUAUGAAUGUGAAAGUUCCUUGUAUACUUACAUUUUUAUAAUAAACUUGUUUUUAUUACCACAACUUAGAUGUUCUUAUAGUUUAUACUUUUUUUUCCUGGUUUCUUAGGUUUCUUAUUCUGCUAAUAAAAUGAUUUUAGGUUCUUGGUCACAUGUUUCUUCUAUGAGGCCAAUAUCUAUACUAACUUGGCUAUUUACUUAUAAAUAUGAAGUUUAAUAUAUUAAAUUUUCUUAAUGUGGGCAGUAAAGAAGAGAGGGCAGAAGAGACAGAGAGAAAAAUGAUAUAAAUCAAAUGGAAGCAAAAGAAUCAGUCCUUUCCUCCAUCAAAGUCAGGGACAAGGUGAAGGUCUGGGAUGAUGACCCAGAUUUAGAAAUAAGCCUUAUUCAGGAAAAAAGUUCUGCAAAUGGAGAUUAGCUAAAAAAGAAGGAAGGGUAUGUUAGAUAUUUAUUUUUAUCAGCAAGAUUUAAAAUAAUUAUCCAUUUUGAUUCAGAUGUAUUCUAACUUUUCAGACUAGUAUUUGACAUCAGAAUACAAGGGUUUGAAUUGUUAGCUAAUUUUCCUGCUUGAUUUUUUGAUUCCAAACUGGAUUGUAAAUUUUGAAGAGAAGGGGGAUGUAAUUUGUAUUUCUUCACAUCACUCUCUAAGCUCGGCAGAGGUCUGAUUUCUGGUGGAUGGAAUGAUCAAUUUAUGGCAAAUAUUUUCUGUAGAGCGGUGUUCAAUGUUCCAAGCAUCAGCAUCACUAUUUUCUUAAUUAAAAUGUAGGAUUAUUAGCCUUCUAUACAUGGAAGCAGUUAAUUUAUUUCAAGUGUGAGGAGGUGAGAGCUAAAAUCCUGAACGUGAAAGUCUUGAAAACUGAAUGGCAUGACUUUGGGAAAAUUAAUCAAAUGGACUUUAGGAUAGUAUUCAAACAGCCACUAUGUUCUUGGAGUUUGCAUAAUUAAAACUUAGAAAUUUAUGCCUAGCAUCUAGGCUUUUCCUGCUCAAAUGCAGCAAAGCCAUCACCCACUCUUGCCAAAGUUGUCAUUCUGAGCUUAAAUCAAACAUGGGCUCUGUUUCAAGUGACUGUGCCCUCCCGGCAUGGUUCCAUCACGGCUCAGAUCUCCACGGCUUGCACUUUGACUGGCUCUGGUGCAGAGAGAGGAAAGUUUACAUCUGCAUAGCAAGUAGGAAGGUGUCUUUUGAUUCCAUGUCCAGGGAUUGAUUAAUUCUGUAUAAUUGCAUUGAGGAACUACUGAGAGAUCGGCCCCAAGGAUGGAGUCUGCAUGCAUUCUUCUGCCUUCUCUCUGCCUCAGAAACAGGUCACUUUUAACUCGUACACUGUGAAGUUGCUAUUAGGUCACCCUUGGUCCAAAGCACAGGUCAACCUGACAUGUCACCACUGCUUAUGUUGAACAACUGCUCAGAGUGGCUCGUUCAUAAUUCAUGCAUCUGAAAAGUGGAUUGUCUGUAUUUAGUUUGCUGAUUUUCAAUCCUGUUUCUGAUAUUUUCAUGGCAGAACCUAAAAGCCUUACGUUCCAUUAGACUAUUCCUUAUAUAAAUCACUUUUUCUCUUGCAAAUCAGUGUCCUCAAAGGAAUUCCUUUUGGUCUAGUAACACUUAAAGUAAAUGGACGUGAUAUAGUAUAUUUUCCCCUGAAUUCUAUAAAAUGCCACCUAUGAAAAUGUCACCUACUCCCCACCCACAUGGCUUCCCUUUCAUCUUUCUCAAAUCCACAUGUUGUUUAGCAUAAGAAGUUACCAACCAACACUUGAGUUGAUAAGGUGAGGUACAUAAGCUUCCUGAAUCUACCAUUGCUCAUAACACUGGAAUAUCAUAUACUAAGACUGUACAUUCCAAAGUGGGAUAAUUUUGACUAAACCUAUUCCUUUGAAAGCAAUUAAUCAGACAGUAUUUUUCUUAAUUCCCCUUGGCUGUUAUUUCUACCUUGCUGCUGAGUUCCCAGGAAAUAGACCUUUGAGGUGAGAUGAUUUUUGCUCAAUGAACAGGCUGGUGGUGCUGAAUAAUUUCAGGUUUCUUUGGACAUUUUGGGAUGACCAGAUGUUAUAUGUUUUCAGGUUGUCCUUUGUCUCUAAUUGAAGGUCAUCCAAACUUUGAAAUCUCAUGAGGAAAUCUAAUGGUUUUCUUAAACAUAACUAGAAGACAUCAGCUCCUGCCAGUUUCAUUAGGAAAUAAGCUAUUAUGUUGAUCUCCUUACAAAACCUCUGGUUUCUGAGAAGUUUCUCUCCCUGUGGUGCUUUGGAAAGGUCUGCCGCUUGUCAAGAGUGAUCAAUCUUGAUUCCUGAAAAGCUGUGGCUGGAAUUCUAAUGCCAACAUGCCAUGAACUGGUUUUCUGCAUUAAAAAGUCUAAGCGGAUGUCAUCUCGACAAAAAUGGUAAUAUAGAGACUUUGUGAUUAAAUAGAUUUUUGAUGUUAAGUGGCGAUUCAUGCCAUAAACAAUUGACAACUCAAAAAUGAGAAUACAAGCCUCUCGAAUUUUAACUUGUUUUAACAAAGGAUUUAGUUGAAAACCAAGUACUGGCAAAUUCAACAUCCUUUUAGAAAUUACUUUUGCAUGUACUUGGACUCAACCAAAUUUUCAACUCUGUAUCUCCACUCCGAACCAAUUAGAAUAUUUUGGUAAUUGUAUGAUUAGAAGUAUUAGGCUUUCACUGUACAUACUGAUGUAAAAUGAGUAAAAGUUGGAUUAAAAAUUGGAAGUAAAGAGGGGUGCCUGAGUGGCUCACUUGGUUAGGCAUUUGACUCUUGAUUUUUGCUCAGGUCAUAAUCUCAUGGUUUGUGAGAUUGAGCCUUGCAUCAGGCUCUGUGAUGACAGUGCACAGCCUGCUUGAGAUUCUCUCUCCCUCUCUCUCUGCCCCUCCCCUGCUCUCUUUCUCUCUCUCUCUCUCUCUCUCUGUCAAGAUAAAUAAAUAAACUUAAAGAAAUUAAAGACUAGUUUCAAGAUUGUAUUACUAGAAUUACAAAUAUAAGGAUAAGGUAAAAGGCAAUUUAAUAUUCCUUGGUAUUAUAAGAAAUAAGAAAAUUGUGGGAUAAUAAUCAUUAGCACUAGCAGUAUGGUAGGUUUUUUACAUGGAUUAUCUGGCUUACUCCCCAAAGCAGCACCAUAAUGCAGUUUCCAUCAUUGUUUCCAUAUUAUAGCAAAAAAAUUGAGGUCCAAAGAGUUUAGUAAAGAUGCAUGGAUUCUAGAGCCCAUCACUUAACCAUGGUAAUUCUGAAUUAAAGAGAAGCAUUCCCAGUGAUAGGCCUAAAGGGAGAAGGGUGUAGGAAAGUAGGAGGUUAUUAAUUUUUCACAAGAUUUAAAAAAAGAACAUGAAUCAGAACCACAAAAUUUAUAAACAAUGGAUGCAAUAUUUCCAAAAGAGUGGAGAAUUGAAGGCUUCCUGAGAAGUGCAGUUCUUUAUAUCGUUAAACUUUUCAGCUUUGCAGAGCAACAGCAAAUAACAGUGACCCUAGAAAGAAUUCAGUAACCUCUAAGGUGGCCCUAGAAGCCUUUAAAGCACGUUAAAGCACUGAUUCAAAGUAAUUUUACAGUAGCAAGUAUACAAAAUGCCUGUGUUUGCAUACAUCUUGGUUGACCCUUAAUUCACACUUGGUUUCCAAUUAAAGGGCAAGAGUUCAACUUGGUUAGUGUGACCAAGACUGAUGAUAUAAAUGUAUAGCAACUAUUGAGAGUUAAGGACUCACCUUGGCCUUGGUGACUUGUCAGGAAGAGCAGCUCAGCUCUAAGAAGCUAGAAGACACAGUAUGUAACAAGUCUUUCUAGGGUGUCCAGACAUUUCUUCCUUCUACUCUCUGGGCCACGUUUGGGGUUAUCUGGGUCAGGUCUUCUUUUUUCCUUUCUAAAUUCCACUGUUCAUUGCAGAAAUCAGGUGUUACUCUGCCCAAUUGUGCUUCCUUUCAUUUUUCAGUUUUCUACUCUUGUCUUUACAAGAUCAUGGUCCAGUGUAUUAGACAAAGAGAGGGCCUGUUUUCUCUCUGACAUGAAUCUGUUUCUUUUAGCCCACCAUCCCCCCAACACAUACACACACACACACACACACACACACACACACACUCCUUGGUAAGGUUAUUUGGAAGCGGUCUCAGAAAAGAUGACUGGCUGCAGCUCUCCAUAUACUUAACACCCAGCUGCUCAUCACUUUUGUACUAAAUAGGAAGAAAUCCACUUGUUUUCAUACUUACUGGGCUUUCUUGAAUAUAAUAUUUAUCUUUUAAUCUAAACACAUACAUUCUUUCCAAUUUUCUGAAUCCUUGGGAAAUAUUAUGAGGGUUUUCACCGAGCAAGAUGUUAGGCAGAAUGUGGGUAAUGGGUUCAAAUACAAUGAAAAUAUGUUCAGAUAGCAUUUAUUCUGAACAUUAAAUAUAACAUUUUUUGAGUACCUACAUGUGUUCAUGCACUGAGGAAACACUGACAAAGUAAAGGGCUUAGCUGUGUUACUCAAGACAGAGUAUCAGAUAAAACACACACACACACACACACAGGGAAGACUCAAGACUCACCUCUGACCUAAUUGGGACACUUUACCCAUGUGUAUUUAGUUAGAGCCAAAUGUCUGGCACAACCAGGGAAAAUAUAAAAAUAUUUCUACCAUCUAAGAGGAAACAUUUGUUACUUAAUUUUUCUCUUACAAUUUUAAAGAUUAUAAGGGCAGGUAUGCCCAUGAUGAAAUUAGCAGAUCUGUGUGAGCUCCGUGUUCCAGGGACCUGUGACCUAACUUUCUACAUUCACAAGAGCUGAGCUCUGCUGAGGCUUGCACUUCCCUGACAAAGACAGACUAUUCCAUUCUCACUCCUCGUGACUGUGUACAUGUUCCUGACUCCUCAUUAUGUCAGACCACCCCGAAGCCACAAGCUGGGGCCACCUCUCCUUUGACUCCCAACUGAAUGGUCUCUAUGGAAUCAUCUUUCACUGAGUGUGUAAAACUAUCCAUAGGUGGCACACCUCUUCAUAUCUGCUUAAAGUCCUUGGAGGGACACCCUCCAUUACUAUAUACCAAGUCAUCAAUAUCAUACCAUAUCACCCCCAUUAUCAUACCAUAUCAUCUAUAUUAUACUACCAUAUCAUACCAGUAUCAUCCUCCAUUAUAUAUAUCAUAUCAUAUCAUAUCAUAUCAUAUCAUAUCUCAUCAUUAUCAUGAUCAUGAUAAGAGAGUCCUAUUUAUGUACCCAAUGCCAGGAAAAAUGUUUUUCUUCCCAGGGAAUUUUCCUAGAGAUAAUGAAUGCUAUAAUUAUUCUGUUACCCUUUGCCCUGUCUGCUAGGAAGUUGAGAUCUCAGUUUUGCUCAAUUACUUUGUGUAAUUGUUCUCCUUUCCUCCUCCUUUACUAUGUAGUUUUUGUCUUUCAUCUUGACAGAAUAGUUUUAUGUCUUUGUGUUCUUAUGUUUUAUUGUGACUUUCUUAUAAGCUUAAAAAUCUUUUUGGAAAUAGGUAGAUGUCUAAAUAGUUCUUGUCCUCAAAGUUUUUUUUUUAAUUUUAAAUUUCCAUGUUAUGUAAUUUAAUUUAAUCUCUUAUGUCAUUCUCUAAACAGCUUAUACCUGUGCCUCUGCUUAUUAUCUAAUGGUUAAAUUCUCUAGUUCUAUUUCUGAAGUUAUGAAAACUUAGAGGGGAGUAUAUGCCCCAUGCAAUUUAUAUCUAACCAACCCAUAAGUAUUUUGUUAUGGGGGGCAGUGGAGGUAGUGGUGGCCAAGGAAAGGUGAUAAUAAUGAUGGCUGCUGUUACUGAAUCCUUUAGCGUAUUUUGGAGAUGGCAAUGUGUCCUUUAGCACAUUAUCAAAGACAAAGUACAGCUAUCACUUAGUUGUCAAGAUUGGAAAAGUUAAACUUUAGGAAGCAAACUCCUUUUGAAACAAGCCAGAGUCAGUUUUUUUUCAUGCCUUAUCAACAGUCAGCUUCAUCCAGAGUGUAUGAUGCACGAAGCCAGCUGAAUUAGCUAUAAGACCAAUUUAGAAGUUCUGUGUAAUGCCUUUGAAUACCUUAAUGUUGACACUAAACUCAUAAUUCACAAUUUCAGGAUAUGCUUCUUGUGGGGAAGAGAAGAGGGCAGGGGCAAAACAACAAUGUGCAAGUUCAAAGGGGUUGAAGAUGCACUUCGGGUAUUUGGAUUGGCACUCCGGAGCUCACGGAUGCUUGUGAUUGCUUAUCUGACUUAUCUAAACUGCUGACGUCAAAAGAAUUAGGCUAGAAAUCUUAUGAUUACAGCUUUUCUUGUGAUCUUUUCUGGUAUUUCCUGUUUCCUGUCAGGCCAAAUAUACUUCGAGAGAGGGUUAUUUUAUGGCAUUUCACCGUUUCUGCCUCAGCUAGACCCAGAGGUAGAGGAGGCAUGAAGUAAAAAUAAUUAAGAACAGCAGCAGAAAGCUCUGUCUGCCCCCAACAUUCCCACCCCACAGCCACUGAUGUUUCUAACAUCAAAAAAUGUUUCUGUAAUGGUUCAGAGUAGGGUCUUAUUUUUAAUGGAAUAAGGUCUAUUGUUCAUUAAAAAGAAGAAGCCACUUCCAUUGUAUUUCUGUUACCUUAUUUGGGUGGUAAUAAGCAGGCGGGCUGUGAAUGGCAUAAUGCAGGCAGCUAAGAAGGCUUUUGAGAGGACAGGAGAUAGCUUCAGAGCAAAAAGGAGGAAAACUGGCCACCAAGGCCUAUACGCUUCUUUUGGGAAUACAAACACCUUAUAGAAUCAAGAAAAAUAAAAGUGGCUGCAGAUGAGCUUUAUAAAAUCUUGCCUAAAUGUUGCUAAAUCUUCCAUGUGCUUUCUGAGCUAAACACUAUGUUUGCAAAGAAAGCUUGAGAGGGGUUAAUCCCCAAUGGUUCACGGGCAAACGUACCACAGACCCACGCUUUCAAUGGCCACAUGCACUGGCCCUGCCUGGCCCACCCUCCUGCAACUCUACCUGCAGGCAACCAUGCAGAAAGAAACAUAACUAUUAUAUAGGAUCACAGUAACAUUUCACUUAUAAUGGCUAUAGCAACCAACAGCUACCAUGUCUAUUUAUUUCAUAUAUAACUUCCUUUAACCUCACAAUCCUGUUUAAAUUCUUACAUCUGGUAUUCUUUUCUGGUGGGCAACUACCCUUUUAGUACAAUGCAGCACGCUAGAUGGGAAAUUCACAACCAGAGCUUGGGACUUGUCCAGAACAAUUUAUAAUUCAAGUCUGGGAACAAGAAAAACAUGUGUGUUCACAUACACGCAUGCAUUUAUGGGUGCACGUGUACUUCUUGCUUGUGUAAGAUGGAUACCACACAUAUAACACAAUUGUAGAGAUGUUAGUGCUUUGGAGUGAAAAGGACAGAAAAUGAGAUUUAGAGAGGUUAUCAUGGAGAGAGGCAUUUUUGGAGUUUGACCAUGGCAGGCAGCAUGGCUGAAUCAGUAGCAUGGCUGGGCAUUGAGGGACCUAGAAUUGGCUCCAAGUAUGGUGUGUAACCUCUCUGGGGCUCUCAGUUUUCUCAUCAAAAAACAAAACAAAACAAAACAAAACAACUGCAGUGGUUUAACUAGAUGAACUUAGAGGCACUUUCCUUUAUAAAAUUCAAAGACUUCUCCAUUUUUCCUCUUAUAAUUUUUCAAUGGUUCUACAAAAGUGAAGGUUUCUUGUCCAUAUGCAACCCAGUCCCAUUAAUUCUCUUUGUUUCCCACUAGUUUUUACUUUAAACAUCAUACUAAGUUAACUCGAUUAACCUCCAUUUCUCAAUCGUUUCUUAUGCUUUUCUGCCUUUGUACUUACAUUCACGUUAAUUCCUUCACCAAGAAGGUCAUUUUGUCAUAUCUGUUAAGAUAUUAAUGAUCUUACAGACAUAGCUGUAAGCUAUGUCCACACUAAGCCUUCCUGGGUCCCUCUAGAGAAGGGUGAGUUAACACGGAGUCCUCUGGGGUAUCUAUCACACUAGGUUUGUGUUUGAGUAUGUGGUUUUAUCUAACUCACUACAUUAUAAACUAUAUAAAAAUUACACUUUUCUUAGACAUUUUCUCAUCCAUCCUGUGGCACCUAGCCUUGAACUAAUUGCUUAAAAAACAUGGCAACCUGAAGACAGAAGAAAUACGACUUGGCGAAGUAGGAGGGACAGGCUGUCGUGAAACUGUGAAGAUCAGUUGUGUCAGGUCUUGAAUUUGUGGAAGUGAGGAUCACAGCUGGAAUGGGAGAUCUGGAUGGAAGAACACACGGAAUACACCUCCUUCAGGACAGGUUGGUACCAAGUGGCAAAGCACUUUAACUGGAUGGUUUAUAUAUCAUUUCUUGUAGUUCUGUGUAAAAUACUAUAGCACUUGGGAAAGUUGGUCUGUAAGUUAAAGGGAAAGUAUUCAACAUCUCAAAAUUCUUGAUAUUUACUAAAUAUGGCCAAUGAACACCAAGUUGAUGGUUGGGAAUACAUUAGUAUCUUUACCUCAAGUCUAACUCUCCACCAGCCACUGUUGGUAGGGCAGUCCUUCUAAAAUGUAAACUUUAUCAUGUCACUUCCCACUAAAAUUAUUUGAAGCCUUCUCGUACCUGGAGGAUGUACUCCUUAGAAAGGUAGAUGAGGUCUUUGGUAAUAUGGCCCCAGACUACCUCCCUAUGAAUAAGCAGUCUUUGUCCUUCCUCAGUGUUUCCACAGAGUAUUAUUCCUACUGUAUCUUGAGACAUAUGCCUUUCUACCUUGAUAUCAGUGAGUUGUUUAUAUGUCUGUCUCAUCUAACAGGUAAUAACUUCUUUUUCUUCUGCUUUCGUCCCAGGCACAUAACACAAUGCUAUGCACUGAGUAGACACUCAAACCAUAAUUAUUCAAUCUAAUUGCUUUGCAAGAAAAACAUAGAAAUUUGAUUUAUUUCCCUUUCUGAAUAUCUUGAAUAAAUAACCAGUAAAUAGAGGUCUCAAUUUCUUCUGAGUUAGGAACAAGUCCUUAUUCAAUUGUGACUUCUUGCAUGGUAGAAGAUGCUAAAUAUUUGGAUAUGACAUUAAAACACCAUUUUCUAUUCUGUGACCUCCUAGAGUGUUUCUCAUUAUUUUUGGAGGGUGGAGGCAUUCAAAAAUUUUUUUUUCAAAACAAAAAUUUUCUAGUUCAAUUUUAUCUAUUCACAUUCUACAGUGCGUUUAUCACCAAAUCAAACAAUAGGGCAUUUAGGACUAAAGGGGGUAGAAAUUGCUUUAGAGUUGAUGAAUCUGAUGAGUUCACAGUUCUUGAUUUUAUAUACCUAUUUAACUGACAAGGAAAUCUUUUCUUUUGUUCUACUGUAGAAUGAUACGUUGAACCAAGACAAGCAAUGUGGAACUCAACUAAUAUUCAAAGGAGAAACUAAGGGCAAAAAGAUAGGUGUACAUAAACCUUGAAUGACUUAUAGACAGAAGAACAGGGAGGGAGGUAGAUGGUUUUUCAUAUCAGCUACCAUGGAAAAGGUAAUAAUGACUCCUGUUACAGAGCUAGAAGAAAACAGUGCUGUUUUCCCUGUUACAGCGCUGGCAGCCUUAUUCCUCAUCACCCUCACUUCUCCUGGCAUCUCCCAUCCCUCCCAUCCUUCUCUCUAGGAGCCAGAGUGCAGAGAAAGGAGAAUACCUCUUAGAAAUUUCCAAUGAGCACAUUUAAGCAAUGAAAAUGUAUCAGACCUGACCAGAAUACAAUGCACUGUAUGUUUAUGAUUGAAAUUCAGAUUUGUAUUAGAUAUAAAACCUCAGCUUUUGAUGUGGAAACCAACCAGAAAGGUGUCACUUGUUCCCAUUCUGUUUCAUGUAUUACAGUCAUUCAGUUGAACUUUUCAGCGUUGAAGUCCUGAGAUUGGUUGCUGAAAUGCAUGUGUAUAUUGUAACCAAAAGAGAAAGAGGUAAUAGGGUAGAAUAACUGGGUCCAGCAUGUGCAUAGGAAUGUAACUAAAAUAAAUACUAUUGAAUAUGCAAUACUCAAGUACGGGCCCAGCACAUGGUAGCUCAAUCAGUGUGUAAUGGAGAUAGUGGGUUUUUUUGUUUUUGUUUUUUUUAAUGUUUUUAAUUUAUUUUUGAGAAUGAGUCACACAGUACUAGUGGUGGAGGGGCAGAGAGAGGGGGAGAUGCAAAAUCUGAAGCAUGGUCCAGGCUCUGAGCUGUCAGCACAGAGCCUGACAUGGGGCUCGAACUCAAAGUCGGAUGCUUAACUAGCUGAGCCACCCAGGUGCCCCUGGAGGUGGUGUUUUUUGAAGAGGGAGUCAAGAUUCAUCAUUGACCCUCAGAGUGAGAAGGGUCUUUGUGUUUGCUUGCUUUCCUUUGUUGUUGUUUGGUUUGUUGGUUUUUGUGUGAGCUUGCAGCAGAACAAUACACUUGAAAACUGGUCUUUGUGGAAAGAUAAAGGGACUCUCUACAUUCUCUCAUUAGAUCCCAUUGUCAUUGAGAGUUAGGCAGGCAGAUAUGGUUUCUUGCCACUUCCACACUAGAGGCUCUCUCUGGGGAAGGAGAAUAUGGCACAAAGUAAGGCCAUCUACUCCUGACACCCUGGAGAAUUAUGGGGAAGAGAGUCAAAGACAGAACCCAGUGGUCAGAUGAACAUGCCUUGGCUCCCCAAUCUCAGGCUGGCAUUUUGCAUUUUGUGCAGUAGGCACAUUCAGAUAGGUGUGCGUGGGCCCAAGGCACACGAUCACCCAGAACCACCUUGCAGAAAAGCAAGGGGCAGGGGAAGUAUUUAUCCAAAAGAAGUAAUUUAGUCUGGAAAAGAUUGACCUCCACCAUGAUAAUGAGCAAAUACAAAUUUUUUUAUCCCAUUCAGGUGGGCUAAAGAGGAAGAUUUGAUUAGUUGAAGAGAAACAGGCUGUAUUUUACUGCACAUUUCAGUGUGGACAUUUGAGAUCUCUGCUACAGUUGUCUUCAACAGUGACUGUUUUCAUUUCUAUAUGUUUUUGUUUACACUUCUACUUGGAUCCAGUUUCUUUGUAGUGAUCUCACUUCACUUCCUUCUUCUUGGUACUCCACGGUUGUCUCCUUACUUGUCUCUUUCUCUUCUCUUUCUUUUUUUUUUCAACAAAAGCUAUCAACUCUUUUCAAUGAAUUUUUGACACAGAUCCUCUAAACAAAUAUCUCUUUCAGUUUCCAGAAGUUGUCAUCAAGGUUAUCUAUAUUUGUGUGAGAUAUUUGGGUGCCAUCCAAAAGAGAUGCAGAAAUAAGUAAGAAAAGAGUCUUGUGCUUUGGCUUUAAUUCUAGAAGAAAGGAAAAUCUGAGGAUGUUCUAAUUAUUGCACUAAAUGUGUCUCGAUGCCCUUGGUUGUUUAAUUUUCCUUAUGAAUGCUUUAACUAAAGAUUUACAUUUAUUUUGGCACAUUUAUUACAUUUCUCAUUACAUUUACUUACAUUUAUUUUUGUUUGAUCUCUCUACUGACCUUGAUUUUAUUUUACAAUUUUCUGGUUUUCCACCUUUCGAUUUCUACUAUCAAGAACAUGCAACUGCUACUCAAUCUCUUUUGAAAAAUUUGUCCCUUUCUCUCUAGGGAUUUUAUUUUUCUGUAAUCAGCCUGGCCCCUUGGACUCACUUUUAAGGCCACACACAACUAAACCUUGCUUUGUCUUGUCGACUCUGCCUUCCAAUUGCACACAAGGCCUACUUUUAAGUUUUAUCUUGUUACUAAUGAUAAGGACCAUGACCUAAAGGCUCUUCUUUAGUCUUCCCUCAGCACGUGUGUGAGAGCUGAGGGAAUAACAAAAUGCUCAGGACAGGGGCGUGGUUUAUAAUCUAUAACAUAUCAUGCCAAGCAGAUUUUUUAGGUGAGAAGAAGUAUUCUGAAGAAAGACUCUCUCAUAAUGUUGUAGUUCAAGGAAUUUAAGACAAACGGAAGGAUACAAAGCUCACCUCUUGGGUGGUCUCUUAGCAUUUUAGAGAUUGAAGUCAAUUCUAAAGAGAAAUUUAUGGAAAGACAAGGAAAAAAUAGAAAAAGAAAUAAUGAUGUCUACACUGUAUACAGAUCUAGGCUAGGGCACUGUAUUAAAUCACAAGUACUUUGUGUUCUGCUUCCUCUUUUUGAUAGGGUGAUAUAUACCUACCACAUACUAUGAGGUGUAUUGAUAAUUGAAGAGUGAGAAAAAUCAGGUAAUAGAAAAGACCACACUCUUCUUUACAUUGCUUCUGUGAGUGAAAAAAAUAACUUGGAGAUUUUGGUCUUUUUACAAUAAAGCUUCUAAUGUUUUCCUUUUAGAAAUUAGUAAGAUGCAAAAGUCAAUGCUCUGCUGUUCAGUUAACCAGACUUGUUUUUUAAAAAAAAAAGAGAGAAGAAAGAAAGGAAGAAAGAAAGAAAGAAAAAAAGAAAGAAAGAAAGAAAGAAAAGGAAAAAAAAAACUGUUUCCAGGCAAAGAGCAGAGGACGUGGGAAUAACAUCCUCCAUUCAGCUCCAACCCCUCAAAAGCUCAUUUGUAGGACUGGGUAAACACACACCUUCCGCAUUCUAUUUUUGAAAUUACGUUGAGGAAUAUACAGACUGUUAUCUGUAAAAAAAGCAACUUUUCAAACUUUAGUUGAUAUAAAAUGUUCCAAAAUGCCUGAACAGAGUAAUUAUUUUUAAAUUUUUUUUUUCAACGUUUAUUUAUUUUUGGGACAGAGAGAGACAGAGCAUGAAUGGGGGAGGAGCAGAGAGAGAGGGAGACACAGAAUCGGAAACAGGCUCCAGGCUCUGAGCCAUCAGCCCAGAGCCCGACGCGGGGCUCGAACUCACGGACCGCGAGAUCGUGACCUGGCUGAAGUCGGACGCUUAACCGACUGCGCCACCCAGGCGCCCCAAUUUUUUAAAGUAUAUAAAAGCAUUCACAAUUUAUAUGCAUUUGCUCUAAAAUUUUAUCAUUAUCAGUGCACUGCAACUUCCCUAUAUGAAUAUAGAACUGUCUCAUAUUAGUUUUGUACAUAGUUUAUACCUUUUUAAUAGUUGGGGAAUCCACUGUCAUGUAUUCUUUUCUUUUAUUUUAAAAGCUAUAAUGACUAAUCCUGAUCCUCUACCAGAAUAUAAACUUAAAAAUGAUUCCAUUAAAAGGAAUAACUAAA
rnacentral:lncRNA from 1 species